GGAGUUUCGCGCACCCCCAGUGGUGGUAGUGUGUUCAGGGCUUCUACUGCUGUCUUAUCCCCCUCACGAUGGCGGGCAUCCUGUUUGAGGAUAUUUUCGAUGUGAAAGAUAUUGACCCGGAGGGCAAGAAGUUUGACCGAGUGUCUCGAUUGCAUUGUGAGAGUGAAUCUUUCAAGAUGGAUCUCAUCUUAGAUGUAAACAUCCAGAUUUACCCUGUAGACUUAGGUGACAAGUUCCGGUUGGUGAUAGCUAGUACCUUGUAUGAAGAUGGUACCCUGGAUGAUGGUGAAUACAACCCCACUGAUGACAGGCCUUCCAGGGCUGAUCAAUUUGAGUAUGUAAUGUAUGGGAAAGUGUACAGGAUUGAGGGAGAUGAAACUUCUACUGAAGCCGCAACACGCCUCUCUGCCUACGUGUCCUAUGGGGGCCUGCUCAUGAGGCUGCAGGGUGAUGCCAACAACCUGCAUGGAUUUGAAGUGGAUUCCAGAGUUUACCUGCUGAUGAAGAAACUGGCCUUCUGAACCUCAAGGAAAGCCAGCCUUGAUGCUCAGUCACUCAGAUUGUGGACAUUGGUCAAGCCUGAGUAACAGAUGCUGUUGUUCACCUGAUAAGGAGAAGCUGGCUCCCUUUCUCCUGAGGGUGCAUCUUUAGCUGAUCUGGACUCAGUGGGAAACUGACUUACCUGUAAAAGACCCAGUGGAAGAACUUAAAAUGAAUAAGAAGUUGUCCUAGACAGAAUUUCACUUUAUUGCCCUCGGUAGAGUGCCGUGGCGUCACACAGCUCACAGCAACCUCCAACUCCUGGGCUUAGGCGAUUCUCCUGACUCAGCCUCCCGAGUAGCUGGGACUACAGGCGUCCGCCACAACGCCCGGCUAUUAAAAUCACUUUUUUCUAAUUUGUCUAUGAUAUUUUAUUUCAGGCCCACAGCCAGAUGAUCAUAUGUCAACAUAGGAUCUAUUUCAGCCUUUUGGUAUCCGGGUUCAGGGUUAUCUGAGUCUUCUGGCUGAUGUUCCCAUCACUUGUCCUUCAAUGCUGUUUUCUAUCUGGGAGAGAGUGUUGUGCUUUUGGCUUCUGAGGGUACCCUGGGUCCAGAAGAUACCACCCAUUUGGCAUAAAAUUUUGAAUUGGCAAAGAGUCUUGCUCAUGUCCUUCCAACACUUUCAGUCUCUUAGGAAGUCAGUUCACGUUGAUGAAUGAGUCACUUACAUAGUCUGGGAAUAUUCAUCAUUUUUAUGAACGCUUUGAGUAGAGGCUUUUAGACACGGGGCAUGACUAAGAAGAGAGCAAGAAGAGAAGACUGUGGUUAUGGAAACAGGUGAAGAGCUGGCUCUGUUCCAGUGGUGGCCUGGGAGGAAGGGCAAGUGGUGGUGGUUCUUCCCAGUGACUCUGAACAGAGCUGCUGCACAGACCAGUGAGGUGGACAGGGCAGCAAUACCAAUGAGGUUGGUGGUCCAUUGCCAGAGACAGGACAAUGCAGCAGCCUGACUACAGUCGCUGACUUACAAAUGGAGAAAGAAAAAAGGAAGUGGUGAUGAAUACAGGGACUCCAGCACAUGAGCUGGCUCUUCAGCUUGGCAUUAGAAGUCUCUGAGAAAGUAUAUGGAACUCUGUUUCCUCCUAAGGAAUUCAGGGUAACAAUUCAGAAAGAUUCUCUGUGAGUGUGUAUUAAGUAGUUGUGGCUUUUGAUCACCAGGCUUUGCCCCUGCUGGGAUGCCUGGGGUAUUUCCUUCCCCAUCGUUUUCAGGUCUUUACAUGAGGUGUUAGAAAUAGUAUUAAGGGAAAUGGGUUGACUGAAUGGCCUCAGCAGGGAGGAAGGAAAGGUGGAUGGGGUAGGAUGGGAGUCCAGGAGAGUAGGAGAUACCAUGGAGGUUGGGCAUUUUUACAGAAUCCUAGAACCUUUCCGUGGGGUCAGAUUUUUGGGGGGGUUGGAGAAGGAUAGAUUUAGAUUAGAGUGGAAGAACCUAGUUACCAGUAGUAGUGUGGGGUAUCAUAGUAGACUGUCCUGGCUGCCCUGGAGUAAUAGAAGAGAGAACUGGUAUAAAGUUGGAAAGGGAUAGGAGUAUUAAGAUUGCAAAAGGGGGGCGGCGCCUGUGGUUCAGUGAGUAGGGCGCUGGCCCCAUAUGCCGAGGGUGGCGUGUUCAGGCCCAGCCCCGGCCAAACUGCAACAAAAAAAAAUAGCCGGGCGUUGUGGUGGGCGCCUGUAGUCCCAGCUGCUUGGGAGGCUGAGGCAAGAGAAUCGCGUAAGCCCAAGAGUUCGAGGUUGCUAUGAGCCUUGUGACGCCACGGCACUCUACCAGAGGGCGGUACAGUGAGACUCUGUCUCUACAAAAAAAAAAGAUUGCAAAAGGGUAUUUUUUGUGUGUGAAGAGAUGGAAUGAACCAGACAAAAUUAUUUGGGAGUGAGUUAGAUUCUUUUUUUCUAUCAUGUCAUUAGCUUAAAGGGUUAGAUUGAUUAUAGUUGAGGCAAUUAGUUGACACUGGAGAAGCCCAUCAGUAUCUUUGUAUUUGCCCUUAACUGGAGUAAGUCCAAGAUGCCUGGAUCUUUCUUGCUCCUUUGCAGUUGUGCCUUUUCAUGUCUCUCAACUGACUACAAACCCAUAUUCUCUGGUCUCUUUGGGAUAUCUUGUCCUAGGUGCUGGCUCUUUCAUGUGCCCUGAAGUUUCAUUUGAUUAUUAAAUUUAACCUACUUAAAUUCAGUAAAUUACAAUUUCAGCUUACCAUUCCCUUGACCACGUUCUGGAAUGUGUAGUGUGGAUGAACUAAUUCUCUCCGGUGCAAGAAACAUGACACCAUCUGAGAUUUGAACAUUUCUGAGCUUUGUGCAUUUGUUGAUUCCUUCUCCAUGGUAACUGUUCUGUCCAUGAAAGGAAAGAGGGGCACUGGGAUGUGUCUAAAUUGGUCACCCCCACCAAGAACUUUGGUUUUCUACUUAGAACUCUUUAAUUGUUGAUGUAUUUACUCCCUAAGUACUUGGAAAUCUUUUCCUAGUAAAAAGAAUUGUGAAUGAUUUACUGGAUAGUGCACCACACUGGGGAGAGUAUGGGCCCUAGAGGAAGUCAGACUAGGGUGUUUGUUCUUUUCCUGCUCACAGGUUGUGUAGCCACUGGGAACUCACCUGACUUCUCUGAGCCUCACCUGUGAAAUAGAGAUGAUAAUACCUACCUUACAGAGUUGUGUAAGAUAAUGUACAUAAGGUUCCAGACACAUUUGCUUUCAUUCUACCGUAGUGGAAUGCUUUUGUGACCCUGGGGUAUUUGGCAAUGUUUGGAACUCUAGAUUCCUAUUUGGUAGCCUUUUGUCCUUUCCUCUGGGGUGGUUGGAACAAAAAAGCUUCCACUCAUUUUCCUACCAGGUCCUCAAACUGCGGCCUGCGGGCCACGUGAGGCGGUGUGAUUGUAUUUGUUCCCGUUUUGUUUUUUUACUUCAAAAUAAGAUAUGUGCAGGGUGCAUAGGAAUUUGUUCAUAGUUUUUUUUUUUAAACUAUAGUCUGACCCUCCAACGGUCUGAGGGACAGUGAACUGGCUCCCUGUUUAAAAAGUUUGAGGACGCCUGCUCUAGAGGUAGAUUGACUUUUGCAAUGGAAUUUUUGUUUUUUGUGAAACAUAAACCUUCUCUUCCUGAGCAUCAAGGCAGCAAAGCCCCAUAAACCUGACUUCUUUUCUAGCAGAGUUUAUAGUGGUCAACUGGGCUCUUUAUAGAUACACUUAUAGGAACUGGGAAUGAGCCUUCAUCUUGGUGCUUAACUCGUGCUUGUCCUGCUGGGAGAGCUGGAGGAGCCUGACUCAGGCACUUCCUGCACUUCCCUCUGACCUCCACAGGAGGGAGGCAGGAGUCCGUGCCUGGUGAAGCCUCCUGCUGAGCAGCUGCUGUUUGCUCAGCUGUCACAUUCAGGUUCCUUCUACUGAACUAUCUGCACAGUCUUACCUAGAGUGUGAGGUGCUCCAGGGCUUCCUGUUAGCAUUUUUU